GGGUUUAGACCCAUGGCAGACGAGGUAGUAACACGUAGGUACGUACCCCAAAGUCGGGCAUAACCAGUCGAAAGGCUGGAUAAUUCCCGAUGGUCCCGCAAGGGUAAAGAUUUAUCGCUUUGGGAGCGGCCUGUGUAGUAUCAGCUUGUUGGUGAGGUAACUGCUCACCAAGGCUAUGACGCUUAGGGGAGGUGAGAGCCUGACCCCCACCGAUGGAACUGCGACACGGUCCAUACUCCUACGGGAGGCUGCAGCCGAGAAUAUUCCGCAAUGGACGAAAGUCUGACGGAGCGACGCCGCGUGAAGGAUGAAGGCCCUCGGGUCGUAAACUUCUUUUAUGAGGGAGGAAAUUUUUGACGUUACCUCAUGAAUAAGGAGCUCCUAAUUCCGUGCCAGCAGGAGCGGUCAUACGGAAGCUUCGAGUGUUACCCGGAAUCACUGGGCGUAAAGGGUGUGUAGGUGGUUUAGUUAGUCUCCCGUUAAAGACCCGGGCUCAACCCGGGGAGUGCGGGGGAAACGGCUAAACUAGAGAGUGAGCGAGGUGUACGGAACUCAUGGUGUAGGAGUGAAAUCCGUUGAUAUCAUGGGGAACACCAAAGGCGAAGGCAGUACACUGGCUCAUUUCUGACACUGAGACACGAAAGCGUGGGUAGCGAACGGGAUUAGAUACCCCGGUAGUCCAUGCCCUAAACGAUCCUAACUAGCUUUGGGGAGUAUCGACCCUCUCCGANGCGAAGCUAACGCGUUAAGUUAGGCGCCUGGGUAGUACNAGCGCAAGCUUAAAACUCAAAGGNAUAGA
rnacentral:rRNA from 1 species